rnacentral:lncRNA from 1 species
UUCCAUGGCUGCGGUAUAGCUAGACCUGACGCGACCGUCCGGCGGCCCUCGCACGGAUACCGCAAUCCCACAUAUCCCGCAUCACGUUUCACCCAUCCCCACCUUCCCAGCCUCGGAACCCCCGUGGCUACGGCACGGAUUCCUAUCGCGGGAGGCUUCGGAGGGACAGCGUUGUCUUCGUUGACUCAAGAGUGCGCUGUUGUUCCCAUACACAAUUGUUCAUGUGAACACGCAUGUCGUCCCGUACGUCGCCCGCUUGCCUGAUCUUGCAUGUGCACGACGAGAAGCAGCAGCGUCGCCCGGCAGGUCCCGCAUCCGCGAAGCAGCACGUAUGUAAACGCG